rnacentral:rRNA from 1 species
GGAACCCUACGGGAGGCAGCAGUAGGGAAUCUUCCACAAUGGACGAAAGUCUGAUGGAGCAACGCCGCGUGAGUGAAGAAGGGUUUCGGCUCGUAAAGCUCUGUUGGUAGUGAAGAAAGAUAGAGGUAGUAACUGGCCUUUAUUUGACGGUAAUUACUUAGAAAGUCACGGCUAACUACGUGCCAGCAGCCGCGGUAAUACGUAGGGGGCAAGCGUUAUCCGGAUUUACUGGGUGUAAAGGGAGCGCAGGCGGCGCGGGAAGUCU